rnacentral:rRNA from 1 species
CAGCCGCCGCGGGAAUACGUAGGUGGCAAGCGUUGUCCGGAAUUAUUGGGCGUAAAGGGCUCGCAGGCGGUUUCUUAAGUCUGAUGUGAAAGCCCCCGGCUCAACCGGGGAGGGUCAUUGGAAACUGGGAAACUUGAGUGCAGGAGAGGAGAGUGGAAUUCUACGUGUAGCGGUGAAAUGCGUAGAGAUGUGGAGGAACACCAGUGGCGAAGGCGACUCUCUGGUCUGUAACUGACGCUGAGGAGCGAAAGCGUGGGGAGCGAACAGGAUUAGAUACCCCUGUAGUCCCUGUCUCUUAUAC